rnacentral:rRNA from 1 species
AUUUACUUAUCGCAAUUUGGUGCUUUCUUCAUAGAUGCCAGAAACCAAGAGUUCCGUUGUUGAAAAGUUUUGAUUUAUUUUAUGGUUUUACCUCAGAAAGUUACAUAUAGAAAACAGAGUUUAGGUUCUCGGCGGCCUCCCCUUUUACCGAGGGUGAUUCCCGNGCAACAAUGUAUGUUUCCCACGGUUCGGAGUUUAAACUCAUAAUGAUCUUCCGUAGGUGAACCUGCGGAGGGAUCAUUACCGAGUUUACAACUCCCAAACCCCUGUGAACAUACCACUUGUUGCCUCGGCGGAUCAGCCCGCUCCCGGUAAAACGGGACGGCCCGCCAGAGGACCCCUAAACUCUGUUUCUAUAUGUAACUUCUGAGUAAAACCAUAAAUAAAUCAAAACUUUCAACAACGGAUCUCUUGGUUCUGGCAUCGAUGAAGAACGCAGCAAAAUGCGAUAAGUAAUGUGAAUUGCAGAAUUCAGUGAAUCAUCGAAUCUUUGAACGCACAUUGCGCCCGCCAGUAUUCUGGCGGGCAUGCCUGUUCGAGCGUCAUUUCAACCCUCAAGCACAGCUUGGUGUUGGGACUCGCGUUAAUUCGCGUUCCUCAAAUUGAUUGGCGGUCACGUCGAGCUUCCAUAGCGUAGUAGUAAAACCCUCGUUACUGGUAAUCGUCGCGGCCACGCCGUUAAACCCCAACUUCUGAAUGUUGAAUACCCGCUGAACUUAAGCAUAUCAAUAAGCGGAGGAAAGAUCAUUACGAGUUUAAACUCCCAAACCUGGGAACAUACCAUGGUUUGCUCGGGAAUACCCUCGGUAAAAGGGGAGGCCGCCGAGGACCCUAAAUCUGUUUUCUAUAUGUAACUUCUGAGUAAAACCUUAAAUUAAAUCAUACUUUCAAAAAGGAUCUCUUGGUUCUGGCAUCCAUAAAAAAGCACACAAUGCGAUAAUUAAUGUGAAUUGCAAAAAUCGUGAAUUUCGAAUCUUUGAG